rnacentral:siRNA from 1 species
UCAAUCGCUAACAACCGCUACCAC